rnacentral:tRNA from 1 species
CGGGGCGUAGCGCAGUCCGGCUAGCGCGCUUGCAUGGGGUGCAAGAGGUCCCGGGUUCAACUCCCGGCGCCCCGA